CGAGCGCGGCUUUUUGCUUGCGAAGCCGGCUUUGGAGAGCUGCUGUGGCGGCGGCAACAUGGCGGACGUGAUAAAUGUCAGUGUGAACCUGGAGGCCUUUUCCCAGGCCAUUAGUGCCAUCCAGGCGCUGCGCUCCAGCGUGAGCAGGGUGUUCGACUGCCUGAAGGAUGGGAUGCGGAACAAGGAGACGCUGGAGGGCCGGGAGAAGGCCUUUAUUGCGCACUUCCAGGACAACUUACAUUCGGUCAACCGGGACCUCAAUGAGCUGGAACGUCUGAGCAAUCUGGUAGGCAAGCCAUCUGAGAACCAUCCUCUUCAUAACAGUGGGCUGUUAAGCCUGGAUCCUGUGCAGGACAAAACUCCUCUCUAUAGUCAACUCCUUCAAGCAUAUAAGUGGUCAAACAAGUUGCAGUACCAUGCAGGACUAGCAUCUGGCCUUUUAAAUCAGCAGUCAUUGAAGCGUUCCGCUAAUCAGAUGGGAGUAUCUGCCAAACGUAGACCAAAGGCUCAGCCCACAACUCUUGUCCUACCACCUCAAUUUCGGCCGAGAAAGCAAGUCCCUGGUUAGGGUUAUAAGUCAUCAAGAAGCAAUAAGCCAGUUUCUCUUUUCACCUGUGUUGAAGACUGCGCCAGCUCUCACAGAUAUGUUGAUGAUGUGAUCAGCCGCAUUGACAGGAUGUUUCCUGAAAUGUCCAUCCACUUAUCCAGACCCAAUGGAACAUCAGCAAUGCUUCUGGUGACCUUGGGAAAGGUGUUGAAAGUGAUCGUCGUCAUGCGGAGCCUGUUCAUUGAUCGAACAAUAGUAAAGGGAUAUAACGAGAAUGUCUACACAGAAGAUGGCAAGCUUGAUAUAUGGUCCAAAUCCAACUAUCAAGUAUUCCAGAAGGUGACAGACCAUGCCACCACUGCCCUGCUCCACUAUCAGCUGCCCCAGAUGCCGGAUGUCGUGGUCCGAUCCUUCAUGACCUGGUUAAGAAGUUACAUAAAGCUGUUCCAGGCCCCGUGCCAGCGCUGCGGGAAGUUUCUGCAGGACGGCCUUCCCCCGACAUGGAGGGAUUUCCGAACCCUCGAAGCCUUCCAUGACACCUGCCGGCAGUAGCCCCCACGCUGGCCCCAGCCUCAGACCCCACCCAGCACCUCCCCAGACACGCAGGAAGCCCACAGAAGGCUCAGCUGGUUCCUCACCGCCCAGAUGUGUACAGCUGCUCCUCCCUUUCAUAAAACAGCGCCAUGUGUGCAGAGGCCACUCUUGAAGAGCAGACCCCCUCUGUGGCUGAUGGGACUAAUUAUUCCCACUAGCCAGCGGACUGAAGGCAAAGAAGACCUUUCUAGAACCUGGUAGAAGGAAGCUGUGCAGCAUGCUCCUCGUCCGUGUGUGUCGGCAGUGCUGGUGUCUGUCGUCUCCGCGAGCUGUUACUGGAAUGAGCCCUCGUGUUCAUGGGUAUCGUCAUGCGGGGUUCUUGUGUUUUGUGGGGCUUGGGUUUUGGUAACUUAUUUUUAUAAGCAAUAAACCUUUUGUAUCCUGGAUAA